CCUACGGGAGGCAGCAGUGGGGAAUAUUGCACAAUGGGGGAAACCCUGAUGCAGCAACGCCGCGUGAGUGACGAAGGUUUUCGGAUUGUAAAGCUCUGUUAGCAGGGAAGAGGAAGGACGGUACCUGCCGCGGAAGCCACGGCUAACUACGGGCCAGCAGCCGCGGUAAUACGUAGGUGGCAAGCUUUGUUCGGAAUAACUGGGCGUAAAGGAUGCGAAGGCGGUUAAACAUGUUUUAUGUUAAAUAUAUAGGCUUAAGCUGUAGAAAGCAUAUAAAACUGUUUAACUAGAUUGCAGGAGAGGUAAGUGGAAUGCCUAGGGUAGCGGUGAAAUGCGUAGAGAUUAGGAAGAACACCAGUGGCGAAGGCGACUUACGGGACUGUAACUGACGCUGAGGCAUGAGAGCAUGGGGAGCAAACAGGAUUAGAUACCCGUGUAGUC
rnacentral:rRNA from 1 species